rnacentral:rRNA from 1 species
UACGAAUGGGGCAAGCGUUGUUCGGAAUCACUGGGCUUAAAGCGUACGCAGGCGGUUCGGCAAGUCAGAAGUGAAAUCCCAGGGCUUAACCCUGGAAUUGCUUUUGAAACUGCCAGACUAGAAUCCGAGAGAGGUUGGCGGAAUUCCGAGUGUAGAGGUGAAAUUCGCAGAUAUUCGGAGGAACACCAGUGGCGAAGGCGGCCAACUGGAUCGGUAUUGACGCUCAUGUACGAAAGCGUGGGGAUCAAACAGG